UACAGAGGUCUUAAGCGUUGUUCGGAUUCAUUGGGCGUAAAGGGUGCGUAGGUGGCGCCGUAAGUCGGGUGUGAAAUUUCGGAGCUUAACUCCGAAACUGCAUUCGAUACUGCGGUGCUUGAGGACUGGAGAGGAGACUGGAAUUCAUGGUGUAGCAGUGAAAUGCGUAGAGAUCAUGAGGAAGACCAGUGGCGAAGGCGGGUCUCUGGGAAUGUCCUGACGCUGAGGAGCGAAAGUGUGGGGAGCGAGCAGG
rnacentral:rRNA from 1 species